GAUGAACGCUGGCGGCGUGCCUAAUACAUGCAAGUCGAGCGAACAGACGAGGAGCUUGCUCCUCUGACGUUAGCGGCGGACGGGUGAGUAACACGUGGAUAACCUACCUAUAAGACUGGGAUAACUUCGGGAAACCGGAGCUAAUACCGGAUAAUAUAUUGAACCGCAUGGUUCAAUAGUGAAAGACGGUUUUGCUGUCACUUAUAGAUGGAUCCGCGCCGCAUUAGCUAGUUGGUAAGGUAACGGCUUACCAAGGCAACGAUGCGUAGCCGAACUGAGAGGGUGAUCGGCCACACUGGAACUGAGACACGGUCAAGACUCCUACGGGAGGCAGCAGUAGGGAAUCUUCCGCAAUGGGCGAAAGCCUGACGGAGCAACGCCGCGUGAGUGAUGAAGGUCUUCGGAUCGUAAAACUCGGUUAUUAGGGAAGAACAAAUGUGUAAGUAACUAUGCACGUCUUGACGGUACCUAAUCAGAAAGCCACGGCUAACUACGUG
rnacentral:rRNA from 1 species